GACGAACGCUGGCGGCGUGCUUAACACAUGCAAGUCGAACGGAAAGGCCCUGCUUUUGUGGGGUGCUCGAUUGGCGAACGGGUGAGUAACACGUGAGUAACCUGCCCUUGACUUUGGGAUAACUUCAGGAAACUGCGGCUAAUACCGGAUAGGAUCUCCUGCUGCAUGGUGUGGGUUGGAAAGUUUCGGCGGUUGGGGAUGGACUCGCGGCUUAUCAGCUUGUUGGUGGGGUAGUGGCUUACCAAGGCUUUGACGGGUAGCCGGCCUGAGAGGGUGACCGGCCACAUUGGGACUGAGAUACGGACCAGACUCCUACGGGAGGCAGCAGUGGGGAAUAUUGCACAAUGGGCGGAAGCCUGAUGCAGCAACGCCGCGUGCGGGAUGACGGCCUUCGGGUUGUAAACCGCUUUCGCCUGUGACGAAGCGUGAGUGACGGUAAUGGGUAAAGAAGCACCGGCUAACUACGUG
rnacentral:rRNA from 1 species